rnacentral:rRNA from 1 species
UUGGAGGGCAAGUCUGGUGCCAGCAGCCGCGGUAAUUCCAGCUCCAAUAGCGUAUAUUAAAGUUGUUGCAGUUAAAAAGCUCGUAGUUGAAUUUCGGGAUUAGUACGCUGGUCGUGCCUUCGGUACGUACUGGUGUUACUGAUUUCUACCUUCUGACGAACCAUCAUGUCAUUAAUUUGGUGUGGUGGGGAAUCAGGACUGUUACUUUGAAAAAAUUAGAGUGUUUAAAGCAGGCUCGCGCUUGAAUACAUUAGCAUGGAAUAAUGAAAUAGGACGUUGAUCCUAUUUUGUUGGUUUCUAGGAUUGACGUAAUGAUUAAUAGGGAUAGUUGGGGGCAUUAGUAUUCAAUUGUCAGAGGUGAAAUUCUUGGAUUUAUUGAAGACUAACUACUGCGAAAGCAUUUGCCAAGGAUGUUUUCAUUAAUCAAGAACGAAAGUUAGGGGAUCGAAGACGAUCAGAUACCGUCGUAGUCUUAACCAUAAACUAUGCCGACUAGGGAUCGGAUGAUGUUAUUUUAAUGACUCAUCGCGCCUACGGAAAC